rnacentral:rRNA from 1 species
CGGACGGGUGAGUAACGCGUGAGAAUCUGCCUUCAGGUCGGGGACAACCACUGGAAACGGUGGCUAAUACCGGAUAUGCCGCAACGUGAAAGAUUUAUCGCCUGAAGAGGAGCUCGCGUCUGAUUAGCUAGUUGGUGGGGUAAAAGCUCACCAAGGCGACGAUCAGUAGCUGGUCUGAGAGGACAACCAGCCACACUGGGACUGAGACACGGCCCAGACUCCUACGGGAGGCAGCAGUGGGGAAUUUUCCGCAAUGGGCGAAAGCCUGACGGAGCAAUACCGCGUGAGGGAGGAAGGCUCUUGGGUCGUAAACCUCUUUUCUCAGGGAAGAAGAAAGUGACGGUACCUGAGGAAUCAGCCUCGGCUAACUCCGUGCCAGCAGCCGCGGUAAUACGGAGGAGGCAAGCGUUAUCCGGAAUUAUUGGGCGUAAAGCGUCCGUAGGUGGCUCUUCAAGUCUGCUGUCAAAGAGUGGGGCUUAACUCCAGAAAGGCAGUGGAAACUGAAAGGCUAGAGAGCCGUAGGGGUAGAGGGAAUUCCUGGUGUAGCGGUGAAAUGCGUAGAGAUCGGGAAGAACAUCGGUGGCGAAAGCGCUCUACUGGACGGUAUCUGACACUGAGGGACGAAAGCUAGGGGAGCGAAUGGGAUUAGAUACCCCAGUAGUC